UACGUAGGUGGCAAGCGUUGUCCGGAUUUACUGGGCGUAAAGAGCGCGCAGGCGGCUGGCCAAGUCCGAUGUGAAAUCUCCCGGCUUAACUGGGAAACUGCAUCGGAAACUGACCGGCUUGAAGGUGGGAGAGGGUAGUGGAAUUCCCGGUGUAGUGGUGAAAUGCGCAGAUAUCAGGAGGAACAGCCGGUGGCGAAGGCGGUUCUCUGGGCAUUACCUGGACGCUGAGGAGCGAAAGUGUGGGGAGCGAACAGG
rnacentral:rRNA from 1 species